CCUACGGGUGGCAGCAGUGAGGAAUAUUUGUCAAUGGGCGCGAGCCUGAACCAGCCAAGUAGCGUGAAGGAUGACUGCCCUACGGGUUGUAAACUUCUUUUAUAAAGGAAUCAAGUGAGGCAAGUGUGCCUUUUUGUAUGUACUUUAUGAAUAAGGAUCGGCUAACUCCGUGCCAGCAGCCGCGGUAAUACGGAGGAUCCGUGCGUUAUCCGGAUUUAUUGGGUUUAAAGUGCGCGUAGGUGGGUUGUUAAGUCAGUUGUGAAAGUUUGCGGCUCAACCGUAAAAUUGCAAUUGAUACUGGCAGCCUUGAGUACAGUUGGGGUAGGCGGAAUUCGUGGUGUAGCAGUGAAAUGCUUAGAUAUCACGAAGAACUCCGAUUGCGAAGGCAGCUUACUAAACUGCCACUGACAUUGAUGCUCGAAAGUGUGGGUAUCAAACAGGAUUAGAUACCCCUGUAGUC
rnacentral:rRNA from 1 species